rnacentral:rRNA from 1 species
AUGAACGCUGGCGGCGCGCCUAACACAUGCAAGUCGAACGGCACCUAUCUUCGGAUAGAAGCGAGUGGCGAACGGCUGAGUAACACGUGGAGAACCUGCCCCCUCCCCCGGGAUAGCCGCCCGAAAGGACGGGUAAUACCGGAUACCCCCGGGCGCCGCAUGGCGCCCGGGCUAAAGCCCCGACGGGAGGGGAUGGCUCCGCGGCCCAUCAGGUAGACGGCGGGGUGACGGCCCACCGUGCCGACAACGGGUAGCCGGGUUGAGAGACCGACCGGCCAGAUUGGGACUGAGACACGGCCCAGACUCCUACGGGAGGCAGCAGUGGGGAAUCUUGCGCAAUGGGGGGAACCCUGACGCAGCGACGCCGCGUGCGGGACGGAGGCCUUCGGGUCGUAAACCGCUUUCAGCAGGGAAGAGUCAAGACUGUACCUGCAGAAGAAGCCCCGGCUAACUACGUGCCAGCAGCCGCGGUAAUACGUAGGGGGCGAGCGUUAUCCGGAUUCAUUGGGCGUAAAGCGCGCGUAGGCGGCCCGGCAGGCCGGGGGUCGAAGCGGGGGGCUCAACCCCCCGAAGCCCCCGGAACCUCCGCGGCUUGGGUCCGGUAGGGGAGGGUGGAACACCCGGUGUAGCGGUGGAAUGCGCAGAUAUCGGGUGGAACACCGGUGGCGAAGGCGGCCCUCUGGGCCGAGACCGACGCUGAGGCGCGAAAGCUGGGGGAGAGAACAGGAUUAGAUACCCUGGUAGUCCACACCGUAAACGAUGAUUACUAGGUGUUGGAGGAUUGACCCCUUCAGUGCCGCAGUUAACACAAUAAGUAAUCCACCUGGGGAGUACGACCGCAAGGUUGAAACUCAAAGGAAUUGACGGGGGCCCGCACAAGCGGUGGAGCAUGUGGUUUAAUUCGAAGCAACGCGAAGAACCUUACCAAGUCUUGACAUCCUCUUGACCGGUCAGUAAUGUGGCCUUUUCUUCGGAACAAGAGUGACAGGUGGUGCAUGGUUGUCGUCAGCUCGUGUCGUGAGAUGUUGGGUUAAGUCCCGCAACGAGCGCAACCCCCGCCGCGUGUUGCCAUCGGGUGAUGCCGGGAACCCACGCGGGACCGCCGCCGUCAAGGCGGAGGAGGGCGGGGACGACGUCAAGUCAUCAUGCCCCUUAUGCCCUGGGCUGCACACGUGCUACAAUGGCCGGUACAGAGGGAUGCCACCCCGCGAGGGGGAGCGGAUCCCGGAAAGCCGGCCCCAGUUCGGAUUGGGGGCUGCAACCCGCCCCCAUGAAGUCGGAGUUGCUAGUAAUCGCGGAUCAGCAUGCCGCGGUGAAUACGUUCCCGGGCCUUGUACACACCGCCCGUCACACCACCCGAGUCGUCUGCACCCGAAGUCGCCGGCCCAACCGUCAAGGGGGGAGGCGCCGAAGGUGUGGAGGGUGAGGGGGGUG